GACGAACGCUGGCGGCGUGCUUAACACAUGCAAGUCGAGCGGUAAGGCCCUUUCGGGGGUACACGAGCGGCGAACGGGUGAGUAACACGUGGGUGACCUGCCCUCAGCUCUGGGAUAAGCCUGGGAAACCGGGUCUAAUACUGGAUAUGACUCCAUGACGCAUGUUGUGGGGUGGAAAGCCUUGUGCGGCUGAGGAUGGGCCCGCGGCCUAUCAGCUUGUUGGGUGGGGGAUGGCCUACCAAGGUGACGACGGGUAGCCGGCCUGAGAGGGCGACCGGCCACACUGGGACUGAGACACGGCCCAGACUCCUACGGGAGGCAGCAGUGGGGAAUCUUGCGCAAUGGGCGAAAGCCUGACGCAGCGACGCCGCGUGAGGGA
rnacentral:rRNA from 1 species